UGCCCGGUGUUUAUGAAUAUCUCACUUGAAAGUAUAGGCAGACUGUUUCAAGAACAUUUGUCUGUGCUUGUCAACUGCAUAAUACUUUGAUUACUAUUUUCAUGUUUACGCUUACUUUUUGACUUCUAGGACCUGCAAAUACAACUGAUUUUCCUGAAGACAUACCAGCUGUGGAACGCCUGACCCAGGAAGGAUUACUUCUUUGGGAAAAAGUUGCUUCAGUAGAAUCCCAGGAUCAAGAAAUACCAGGAAACCAAAGACAACAGUUGCUGCGGAUGCUAGAAGGACUAGCAGAUGAACAGAGUUGGCUCAGUGAGGACUUACAAGCAAAGAGACAGCUCUCUAGCAGUCUUGUGAAGCUCCAUGUCCAUCCAGAGAGCCUGCUAACUUUCAGAUGAGAACUUACAGCAUCGUCCCUCCUGGUCCUCAGCCCUUCAGUCUCCAACAGCAGCUAUACCGUCAGCUCUCCUGGGUCUCCAGCUUGCUGCCUGCAGAUCUUGGGGCUUCUCAGCCUCCAUCGUCCCAUAAGCCAAUUCCUUCUAAUAAAUCUGUCUCUCUGACAUAUAUAA